rnacentral:rRNA from 1 species
ACGAACGCUGGCGGCGUGCUUAACACAUGCAAGUCGAACGGUGAAGCGCCUUCCUUUUUGGUGGGUGUGGAUGAGUGGCGAACGGGUGAGUAACACGUGAGUAACCUGCCCCCUUCUUCUGGAUAACCGCAUGAAAGUGUGGCUAAUACGGGAUAUUCUGGGUCUGUCGCAUGAUGGGUCUGGGAAAGAUAUUGUUUCGGUGGGGGAUGGGCUCGCGGCCUAUCAGCUUGUUGGUGGGGUGAUGGCCUACCAAGGCGGUGACGGGUAGCCGGCCUGAGAGGGUGGACGGUCACACUGGGACUGAGACACGGCCCAGACUCCUACGGGAGGCAGCAGUGGGGAAUAUUGCACAAUGGGCGCAAGCCUGGUGCAGCGACGCCGCGUGAGGGAUGGAGGCCUUCGGGUUGUGAACCUCUUUCGCCAGUGAAGCAGGCCUGCCUCGUUUGUGGGUGGGUUGACGGUAGCUGGAUAAGAAGCGCCGGCUAACUACGUG